UNGUGACACCAUGAGCCCUUUGUUCCUACC
rnacentral:piRNA from 1 species